GACGAACGCUGGCGGCGUGCUUAACACAUGCAAGUCGAACGGCAAGGCCCUGCUUUUGUGGGGUGCUCGAGUGGCGAACGGGUGAGUAACACGUGAGUAACCUGCCCUUGACUUUGGGAUAACUUCAGGAAACUGGGGCUAAUACCGGAUAGGAGCUCCUGCUGCAUGGUGGGGGUUGGAAAGUUUCGGCGGUUGGGGAUGGACUCGCGGCUUAUCAGCUUGUUGGUGGGGUAGUGGCUUACCAAGGCUUUGACGGGUAGCCGGCCUGAGAGGGUGACCGGCCACAUUGGGACUGAGAUACGGCCCAGACUCCUACGGGAGGCAGCAGUGGGGAAUAUUGCACAAUGGGCGGAAGCCUGAUGCAGCAACGCCGCGUGCGGGAUGACGGCCUUCGGGUUGUAAACCGCUUUCGCCUGUGACGAAGCGUGAGUGACGGUAAUGGGUAAAGAAGCACCGGCUAACUACGUG
rnacentral:rRNA from 1 species